CCUACGGGGGGCAGCAGUGGGGAAUAUUGGGCAAUGGGCGCAAGCCUGAACCAGCAACGCCGCGUGAAGGAAGAAGGCUUUCGGGUUGUAAACUUCUUUUCUCAGGGACGAAGACAGUGACGGUACCUGAGGAAUAAGCCACGGCUAACUAAGAGCCAGCAGCCGCGGCAAUACGUAGGGUGCAAGCGUUAUCCGGAUUUACUGGGUGUAAGGGGCGUGUAGGCGGGACUGCAAGUCAGAUGUGAAAACCACGGGCUCAACCUGUGGCCUGCAUUUGAAACUGUAGUUCUUGAGUACAGGAGAGGCAGACGGAAUGCCUAGUGUAGCGGUGAAAUGCGUAGAUAUUAGGAGGAACACCGGUGGCGAAGGCAGUCUGCUGGACAGCAACUGACGCUGAGGCGCGAAAGCGUGGGGAGCAAACAGGAUUAGAUACCCUUGUAGUC
rnacentral:rRNA from 1 species